rnacentral:rRNA from 1 species
UGCGUAGGUGGCUUGAAAAGUUUGAUGUGAAAGCUCAGGGCUUAACCCUGAAAUGGCAUUGAAUACUGUCGAGCUGGAGGUUUGGAGGGGGGACGUGGAAUUCUUGGUGUAGCAGUGAAAUGCGUAGAUAUCAAGAGGAACACCAGUGGCGAAGGCGAGUCCCUGGACAACACCUGACACUGAGGCACGAAAGCUAGGGGAGGCAAACA